rnacentral:rRNA from 1 species
GGAGGGUGCAAACGUUGUUCGGAAUUAUUGGGCGUAAAGAGCGUGUAGGCGGUUCGUCAAGUCUGAUGUGAAAGCCCGGGGCUCAACCCCGGAAGUGCAUUGGAAACUGGCGAACUUGAGUACGGGAGAGGAAAGUGGAAUUUCGAGUGUAGGGGUGAAAUCCGUAGAUAUUCGAAGGAACACCGGUGGCGAAGGCGGCUUUCUGGACCGAUACUGACGCUGAGAUGCGAAAGCGUGGGGAGCAAACAGGAUUAGAUACCCUGGGUAGUCCACGCCCUAAACCAUGGGUACUAGGUGUUGCGGGUAUUGACCCCCUGCAGUGCCAAAGCUAACGCAUUAAGUGCCCCGCCUGGGGAGUACGGCCGCAAGGCUAA